GUAGGUGGCAAGCGUUGUCCGGAAUUAUUGGGCGUAAAGCGCGCGCAGGCGGUUCUUUAAGUCCGAUGUGAAAGCCCACGGCUCAACCGUGGAGGGUCAUUGGAAACUGGAGAACUUGAGUACAGAAGAGGAAAGCGGAAUUCCACGUGUAGCGGUGAAAUGCGUAGAGAUGUGGAGGAACACCAGUGGCGAAGGCGGCUUUCUGGUCUGUAACUGACGCUGAGGCGCGAAAGCGUGGGGAGCAAACAGGGAUUAGAUACCCCGGUAGUCCACGCCGUAAACGAUGAGUGCUAAGUGUUAGGGGGUUUCCCGCCCCCUUAGUGCUGCAGCUAACGCAUUAAGCACUCCGCCUGGGGAGUACGCCGCAAGGCUA
rnacentral:rRNA from 1 species